rnacentral:rRNA from 1 species
CGAGUGAAGAGGGAAGAGCCCAAGAUUGAAAGCUGGCGUCUUCGGCGUCCGCAUUGUAAUCUCAAGAAGUGUUUUCCGCUUCGGACCAAGCCUAAGUCCCUUGGAAAAGGGCAUCAUAGAGGGUGAUAAUCCCGUACAUGGCUUGGAGCGCCCGAAGCUUUGUGAUACGCUUUCUAAGAGUCGAGUUGUUUGGGAAUGCAGCUCAAAAUGGGUGGUAAAUGCCAUCUAAGGCUAAAUAUUGGGGAGAGACCGAUAGCGAACAAGUACAGUGAUGGAAAGAUGAAAAGAACUUUGAAAAGAGAGUUAAACAGUACGUGAAAUUGCCAAAAGGGAAGGGUAGGAGGUCAGAGAUGCGGCCUGGGAUUCAGCCUUGCUUUUGCUUGGUGUUUUUCCCAGAUUGCAGGCCAACGUCGGUUUUGGGCACUGGAGAAGGGUAGGAGGAACGUGGCACCUCUCGGGGUGUGUUAUAGCCUCCUACUGGAUACAGCGACCGAGACCGAGGACAGCAGCGUACUCGCAAGAGCGGGCCUUCGGGCACCUUUACGCUUAGGGCGUUGGCAUAAUGGCCCUCUACCACCCGUCUUGAAACACGGACCAGUU